AAACGGAAGAGUUUGAUCCUGGCUCAGGACGAACGCUGGCGGCGUGCCUAACACAUGCAAGUCGAACGGGUGUAGCAAUACAUCAGUGGCGGACGG
rnacentral:rRNA from 1 species